rnacentral:rRNA from 1 species
GGACGGUUACCACGGAGUGAUUCAUGACUGGGGUGAAGUCGUAACAAGGUAGCCGUAGGGGAACCUGCGGCUGGAUCACCUCCUUAAU